AGGGUGCGAGCGUUAAUACGGAAUUACGUGGGACGUAAAGCGCAUGCAGGCGGCCUGUUAAGUCAGAUGUAGAAAGGCCCGGGGACCUUUAACCGUACCGGUAAAGUUGCUAUUUAGUAAACGUGGCGAGGCUAGAGUCUUGUAGAGGGGGGUAGGAAUUUCAGGUGUAGCGGUGAAAUGCGUAGAGAUCUGAAGGAAUACCAGUGGCGAAGGCGGCCCCCUGGACAAAGACUGACGCUCAGAUGCGAAAGCGUGGGGAGCAAACAGGAUUAGAUACCCUGGUAG
rnacentral:rRNA from 1 species